rnacentral:pre_miRNA from 2 species
AUGUAUAAAUGUAUACACACUUCCUAUAUAUAUCCAUAUAUAUAGUGUAUAUAUUAUACAU